UACAGAGGGUGCGAGCGUUAAUCGGAAUUACUGGGCGUAAAGCGCGCGUAGGCGGCUUUGCAAGUCGGGUGUGAAAUCCCCAGGCUUAACCUGGGAACUGCUGGGUAUACUGGCGGUCUUGAGCCACCUAGGGGCAACUGGAACAAGCGGUGGAGCGGUGAAAUGCGUAGAUAUCUGAAGGAACAUCAGUGGCGAAGGCGGAUCUCUGGGCCAUUACUGACGCUGAGGAGCGAAAGCGUGUGGAGCGAACAGG
rnacentral:rRNA from 1 species